GACUUACUCGAUCCCGCGAAUGCAUCUCACAUUAGAGUUUGAUCAUGGCUCAGAUUGAACGCUCGGUUGUGCCAGCCUAACACAUGCAAGUCGAGCGGCAGCACAAGGGAGUUUACUCCUGAGUGUGGCGAGCGGCGGACGGGUGAGUAAUGCCUAGGGAUCUGCCCUGUCGAGGGGGAUAACAGUUGGAAACGACUGCUAAUACCGCAUACGCCCUACGGGGGAAAGAGGGGGACCUUCGGGCCUCUCGCGAUUGGAUGAACCUAGUGGGAUUAGCUAGUUGGUGAGGUAAUGGCUCACCAAGGCGACGAUCCCUAGCUGUUCUGAGAGGAUGAUCAGCCACACUGGGACUGAGACACUGGCCCAGACUCCUACGGGAGGCAGCAGUGGGGAAUAUUGCACAAUGGGGGAAACCCUGAUGCAGCCAUGCCGCGUGUGUGAAGAAGNGCCUUCGGGUUGUANNAGCACUUUACAGUAGGGAGGAAAGGGU
rnacentral:rRNA from 1 species